AAGAAAUGUUCGUGCUGAGAGGAUUUGAAAGGGUACAGACCACAAGAGCACAGAGAAUGUAUUCAAGUUUCUUAAGUUCUUAGAACAUUUUUGCAGUCAUCUCAUUGUCCAGGCUCAAUAUUUCUUCAUUUCCUUGCAGACAAUUCAGAAGAUGGAAUAUUUCAACUCUAAAAGUAAGCACCUGCUGUCCCCAUGGUGAUCAUGUAGGGAAAACAUCAGAGAGUCCUGUGUGCCGACACUGCAAGGCCAAGCCUGCCCUGCCUCUUGGAACAAGUUGCUCACCUGCUCUAAGCUCCAGGUCCCUCCCUGGUGCAAUAAGCAUAGUGAGCCCCUGCUCCAUGGAGUUCUGAGAACUGCAUGGGAUCCUGCAGUUGCAGCCCUGGUGCUCAUAACCCUGAGGUGCUUGCCCUCUAGUUGGGCUGUGUGAAAAGGAAAAGAGAAGAGCCACCGAGUGACUUGCAUCCCCUGACCACGUCUCAGAUGAUGCAGAAGGCUUUCCAUGGCCCCCAACUCUCCUCCCUAGUGCGAGGCUGCAGCUCUUGUCAGGAAAAGGUGGAGCAGGCAAGGUUGCCAGCUUGAUUCUCACAAUGAGCUUUCAUUGAUGAAGCCAGCCACGUGUGACAAGACUAGGAAGAUAACAGCAAUUGCAGACAGCCCAGACCAAGUGUUUGCGGUGGAGAAUGGCUUCAAGGCGAGAAGCACCAUUGACACCAUGAGUGGGCUGAUGUGAGGGGUUGGGGCACCUGGCUCCUGUGGCUGGAGGCUCACUCUGCCUGCCCCACCCCAACCCUCCUGUGUUCCAGCUCACGUCAAAGCUCUGCAGAGCCCACACUGUGUGUGCAGGAGCCUCAGUGCCACCACAAGCUUCUUCCUAGGGAAGCGUCAUGGCCAUUGGAUGGGUGCCCUCAGAGGCCAAGCAGGAGGGACGAUGAGCAGGAGGAACAGGCCAGGACAAGCCAGUUGAGGCUGGCAGUUGGAAGCCCUUGGAAUGAAGGUGGGCCCAGGAGCUCCCCAUGUGAGGAGGGGGGAGCCCCAGACCCAGCCAGAGAUCGUCAUGGAGGGUCACAAACCCACUAUGCCUGCCAUUCCCAUUUUACAAAAAAGC
rnacentral:lncRNA from 1 species